UGUGAAUGGUGGUUGGUAUGACUUAUGUUGAUAAAUAGAGAAUCAGAUGGCAACUGUUAAGGAUUACAGUAUGUUGAAAGUUUUAAAAUUUGUAAAGUUAUGAUUCAUAGUUUCAAGCCAAAAGAAGGCAAGAUGAACUCAGAUGUUUAAGACAUAGUGUUGGCAAGUACAAUAUGGACAUCCAAAGACAAGAAUAACCUCCAAAAAUAUUAAUAUUUAGUAAGAUAAGUAAAUCAAAGUAGCACAACGGAAGCAUGGUGGGC
rnacentral:lncRNA from 1 species